GUCGCGUUUGUUAACACAUUUUACUCUAUUUGAAAUUGCGAAUCAUUCGGCUGGUUCUGUUCGCAACUACUACGUCCAUUUUGGUUUUGUUGUGGAGCGGAAACUUGAGUACAGUCGUCGAAGGUUCCAACUAUCACGACAAUGCCAAUGUCAACGUAUAGCUGCUAUAUAAAAUUUACCAUUUUCAUGGUUUAUAUACGGCCGUUAUAGCCUGGGCAUUUGAUCAAGUAACAAAGACUGUCAUGUAAACAAUGCCAUAAUAUAAGCAGUGACGACUUUGACGGUCUACAAAAUGUCUUUUGCAGUAAGGGCGUAAUGCAUGUUGUCUUACUGUACGUUUUGUUCGGAUUCUGGCGUGGGCAUAUGCAUAAAAUAUAUGCUACUGCAUUAAAUGUUGGCUACAUGAAGUUAUUGUUAUGGUCUGCGCUGCUCAGAUCACGUGUCACCCACUUCUAACGUGUGUGUGGAUAUUUUUUUUUCUUUCCACGUGCACAGCAAUGUAACCAAAGAUUUUCCAUGUAGAAAUGAGGGACAGGGAGCUGCAGCCAAUAACGAGACUCCCCGUGUAGUUAGCCCAGCCUCCCUGAUCCUUUGCUUUGUUUACAUUACACUGCAGUCGAAUCUGGAUCCCUGAAGAUCCCUCUAUCCAUCGAAAUGCAGUCUACAAUUAACAGUAUAUUUCAAAUCAGUCAAAACCAUUCUAAUUGUUGGUCUUUUUAAAUCACAUGUCAAAUGUUUAGGUUUUAUCUUUUAGCUAUUAUUCAGAAUAUUUCUUAUAAUGAAGCAGCAGAUGACAGACCUAAUCCAUAAUCAGUUUUCUGGACUGUACUGCUCCCAUCACUCUAGAUAAUCUCUGAAAAUUGGCCUGCUGCGUAGCUGUGACCUAGCUGUCAAGUCUAGCAGAUGAUGUAAUGAAUGAGUUGCACAGCGGGGGAUACAUAUAAGUCACACACUCCCUACACCCACCCCCCACCCCCCACCCCUUGAGCUAUCUUUAAACCAAAAGUGCAGCGAGGGAGUGUGCAUUCAUUUUUGGCAGGAGAUAACUAUGACCAGGGACAGGAACACCCAAGGGUCACCCUGUGCACUAUGUCUUAUACAGUGCUGGCAGAUAAUAUUAGAAAAGCAGAGGCCUACUAAAUUAAGGGUGUUACAGUAGUCAAGAUACAUUGUGAGGUUUUUAUUUAGCCAAGUGUGGUGAUUUGUUUGUUUGUUUUGAUAACAUGUACACAAGUUAUAUGGUGUAGUUUGGCUUUAGCUUGUGUUUUUCUUACAAAUAGUACCUUUCUUUCUUAUGCUAUGUGUUUUUUUUAUUUGUGUGGCAGACAGACAACAUAUAAACCGGUGUAACAGGAUCGUUCUGCCGGUUGAGAAGCCCUCUGUUGUCCCAUGUUGCCCUGGAGACACAAUUGAUCUCAGACAGGCCUGGACACAGUGUCCCUUUUGUCCUCAAGGAAUACAAGCUUUUGUUUAAACCUAGUUAUGGAAAAGGGUUCCGUUUGUGUCCUGACUUUGGAUAGUGUUGUAGACGUCUGUGGCAGUAAACACUUAACUCAGGGACACUGAAUCAUCAGGUGUUUUUCCAAAGAAUUACAUAAUGUACUAUUAUCGAGUUUAACAAGAAGUUGAUACAAAAGGCAGCUAUCUCUGUUUCCAUGGAGACUGGCCCGCAAUCUGUUUUUUAUUGAGUGUGACUCGUGUUUUUGCAAGCCGAUUUAGUGCACAAAAACAAAAACGGAAGUGAGUAAAGCAAGCAAAGGCCUAAAGUUGAGAGAGCACACACAUUCAUUUUCAUCUUAUAUGAUCAAUCCAAUACACGAUAGGGCUGUCAAAAUAAGCCAAAAAGGACGUUUCCUAUUCCUAUAAAUAUUCCUGUAUUAUACUGACGAAUAUUCCUUCUUAAAAAAACACAAGUUCAAACUAAUUUAUUUUUGCACAUUAUUUCCAUUAAAAAGGGGAAAUGUACAACGAGAUGCAUAACUACUUGUACAGGUAUAUUUAUUUCAACAUAAACAUGUCUUUUAAAAGAUUGACAUACCUACACACUGAAAUAAACUAAUAAAAUAGUGCACUAUACCGUAAAACUUAGAGACCGUAGACCUCUCUCCCUCAUUCUCUGCACCGUGGUUGGCGCUAGACUGAGACCCUAGCAAGCAAGCUAGCUAGCUAACCAGCUGGCCGACCAACCGGUAAAUUAUUACAAUUUAACAACUUAAUGUUUAAACCAACCAUGGAACAUUUUGUUUUUCUCAGUAAAUGCCAUGAAAAGACCAAAACCACCAUGCGUUAGUCUGUCUCUGUGCAUCUGUGCUCUGUCUUUGGCUCUCAGCCUCAAGCCUAUUUUUUCAGAGCAGCUUCCACUCAAAGGAGGAAUGAUUACCUUUCACUUAAAAUUCUAAACCUGUUCCUGUGUUUCUUUUGAAGGUAGUAAGAAAUCCAUUAACUUGUGAUGUGCUGAACACGUUCACUUGGAAUAAAUUUUAAGAAACCCAUUCUGCUGAAGUUAUAGCUAACAAGAUAAGGGUUGUAACCAACUUCUC